rnacentral:rRNA from 1 species
AGCUGAGUUUGAUCCUGGCUCAGAUUGAACGCUGGCGGCAUGCCUUACACAUGCAAGUCGAACGGCGGCACGGGUGCUUGCACCUGGUGCGAGUGGCGGAACGGGUGAGUAACUACAUCGGAACGUACCUUAUCGUGGGGGAUAACGCAGCGAAAGUUGCGCUAAUACCGCAUACGCCCUGAGGGGGAAAGCGGGGGACCGUAAGGCCUCGCGCGAUUAGAGCGGCCGAUGUCUGAUUAGCUUGUU